GACGAACGCUGGCGGCGUGCUUAACACAUGCAAGUCGAACGCUGAAGCUCAGCUUGCGGGGUGGAUGAGUGGCGAACGGGUGAGUAACACGUGAGUAACCUGCGCUCUUCUUUGGGAUAAAGCCCGAAGACGGGGGCUAAAACUGGAUAUUCAAUGAUUCGCGCCAGGGGGGUGGUGGGAAGGUUUUUUCGGGUGGGGGAGGGGCUCGCGGUCUAUCAGCUGGUUGGUGGGGAGAUGGCGUCCGAAGGUUUGGACGGGUAGCCGGCCGGGGGGGGUGGCCGGUCACAUUGAGACUGAGCAUCGGCCCUGACUCCUACGGGAGGCAGCAGUGGGGAAUAUCGCACAAUGGGCUAGAGCCUGAUGCAGCGACGCCGCGUGAGGGAGGGAGGCCUUCGGGUUGGACACCUCUGUCGCACAUGGUCAUGCCGCAGCUUUGGGUUGUGGUGACGGUAGUGGGUAAAGAAGCGCCGGCUAACUACGUG
rnacentral:rRNA from 1 species